GGGACAACUGUAGGUCUAAAUUUCUCUUUUAUUAUUGGGUCUAAAAAGCUGGCAAAGUGCCUGAUACCAAAAUGAACAUAGUUUCAUAGAAGCCCCCAUAUAUACAUGUAGUUACUUGUUCUAAUGUGAGCU